GGAAGCAAUUUGUAACUUUCAGUAGCUCUCUAGGCCUAGGUACCGGUGGGAGGGAGGCUGGUGGAGGGGGAAAGAGCACCCCCAGUUUUUCAGCCCAGCCUGUUUGUCUAGGGGCAUUCGGACCCCCCUGGCCCUCCUUUUUCCUACCAAGCAAUCUCGAGCAGGGUUCUUGGACCACUCCUGACCUACAGCGCAGCCAGGGAACUCCACUCCGGGAGAGUUUACUUUUCCCUGGGGAUGAGUUACAUUUUUGUACACUAAUUCUUCAGCGAUAUCAAGUUCACCUCCCUUCUCCAACCAUCCUCCAGUAGUAGAGUUAAUAGCACCUGGGCUCAGGCAAGGAAGAAAGAAGGGAAUUUCAGUGCAAAGCGUCCAGAACAAUUCAAGUCUCAUGCUGAAUGAAAGUUAGCUGCUAUGGACAACGUUGCCUUUUGGACCUCAUUCAGCAGGAGGCCAAACAAGAUCCAAGGAGAAAGGGACCUGACAAAGUCAAAGGAUGACCACUGAGGAUCUGAGUCCUCAGUGAAGAGUGCCAGUUGCCACAGAAGCCCAUUCUCUCCUUGUAGGCCAGCAGAGAGCCUUCUAUCCCAACACUCCACUUCCCAGCACCCUUGCCAGGUGUGGCCAGUGGGAACAAGAGCCCAAAUAAGGUCACCCAAGCACGAGGGCACCAGGGCACGGUAAGUUCUUUGUGCCCCAUUUCUCGUGUCCUGGAUAGAUACUGAGAUGCGGCCUGGCUGGAAGCUGAAGAGGCAGUGAGUGGUCCCUAGUGGAGAGCAAAGCAACAGUGUUGAGAAGAACCCAAGACCCCACGUGACAGAUGGAGGAGAGCUGACUGCUGCUUCUGCUGUCAUUUCCAUGACAAAUAAACUGUUUCCCAGGC